rnacentral:rRNA from 1 species
CAGUCGCCGCGGUAAAACGAAGGGGGCUAGCGUUGUUCGGAAUUACUGGGCGUAAAGCGCACGUAGGCGGACAUUUAAGUCAGGGGUGAAAUCCCGGGGCUCAACCCCGGAACUGCCUUUGAUACUGGGUGUCUAGAGUAUGGAAGAGGUGAGUGGAAUUCCGAGUGUAGAGGUGAAAUUCGUAGAUAUUCGGAGGAACACCAGUGGCGAAGGCGGCUCACUGGUCCAUUACUGACGCUGAGGUGCGAAAGCGUGGGGAGCAAACAGGAUUAGAUACCCGAGUAGUCCCUGUCUCUUAUAC